UUAAAUGAGGAAAGGCUUACGCUAGAUACCUAGGUACCUAGAGACAAGGAAGGGUGUGUAAGCAACGAAAUGCUUCGGGGAGUUAAAAAUAAGCAUUGAUUCGGAGAUUCCUGAAUAGGUCAACCGUUCGAAAUACUGCUAAAUCCAUGGGUAGGCAAGAGACAACCUGGUGAAUUGAAACAUCUUAGUAGCCAGAAGAAAAUAAAGCAAAAGCGAUUCUUGUAGUAGCGGCGAGCGAAAUGGGAGCAGCCUAAACUGUAAAAAUAGGGUUGUGGGAGAGCAAUACAAGCAGCAUGCUACUAGGCGAAGCGGUGGAGUGCUACACCCUAGAUGGCAAAAGUCUAGUAGCUGAAAGCAUCACUAGCUUACGUUCUGACCCGAGUAGCAUAAGGCAUGUGGAAUCCCGUGUGAGUCAGCAAGGACCACCUUGUAAGGCUAAAUACUCUUGGGUGACCGACAGUGAAGUAGUACAAUGAGGGAAGGGUGAAAAGAACCCCCAUCGGGGAGUGAAAUAGAACAUAAAGUCGUAAGCUCCCAAGUAGUCGGAGGAGCCCGGGGCUCUGACCGCAUGCAUGUUGAAGAAUGAGCCAACGACUCAUAGGCAGUGGCUUGGUUAAGGGAACCUACCGAAGCCAUAGCAAAAGCGAGUCUUCAUAGGGCAAUUGUUAUCGCUUAUGGACCCGAACCUAGGUGAUCUAUCCAUGAUCAGGAUGAAGCUUGGGUGAAACUAAGUGGAGGUCUGAACCAACUGAUGUUGAAGAAUUAGGGGAUGAGUUAUGGUUUGGGGUGAAAUGCCACUCAAACCCAGAGCUAGCUGGUUCUCCCCGAAAUGCGUUGAGGCAUAGUAGUUGACUAGACAUCUAAGGGUAAAGCACUGUUUUAGUGUAGGCCACGAAAGCAGUACCAACUAGAGGCAAACUCUGAAUACUAGAUAUGACCUCAAAAUAACAGGGGUCAAGGUCGGCCAGUGAGACGAUGGGGGACAAGCUUCAUCAUUAAGAGGGAAACAGCCCGGAUCACUAGCUAUGGCCCCUAAAUGACUGCUCAAUGAUAAAGGAGGUAGGGGUGCAGAGACAUCCAGGAGGUUUUCCUAGAAGUAGCCACCCUUGAAAAAGUGCGUAAUAGCUCACUGAUUAAGCGCUCUUACGCCUAAGAUGAACGGGGCUAAGCGAUCUGCAGAAGCUGUGGGAUGUAAAAAGGUAUCGGUAGGAGAGCGUUCCACCUUAAAGGGAAGCACCCGCGAGAGCAAUGGUGGAUGAAGCGGAAGUGAGAAUGUUGGCUUGAGUAAUGCAAACAUUGGUGAAAAUCCAAUGCCCCAAAAACCUAAGGGCUUCUCCAUAAGGUUCAUCCAUGGAGGGUGAGUCAGGGCCUAAGAUUAGGAUGAAAGGCAUAGUUGAUGGACAAUAAGUGAAUAUUCCUGUACUGCCCCUUGUUGGUCUCGAGGGACGAAGGAGGCUAGGUUAGCCAAAAGAUGGUUAACGGUUCAAAGACGCAAGGUGCCCCUUCUUUUCAGGGUAAGAAGGGGUAGAAAAAAUGCCUCGAGCCAAUGUUCGAGUACCAGGCGCUACAACGCUGAAGUAACCCAUGCCAUACUCCCAAGAAAAGCUCGAAUGACCUUCAACAAAAGGAACCUGUACCCGAAACCGACACAAGUUGGUAGGUAGAGAAUACCUAGGGGCGCGAGACAACUCUCUCUAAGGAACUUAGUAAAAUAGCCCCAUAAUUUCUAAAGAAGGGGUGCCUCCUCACAAAGGGGGUCACAGUGACCAAGCUCAGGCGACUGUUUACCAAAAACACAAGUCUUCGCAAAGUUGUAAGACCUUGUAUGGGGGGCUGACGCCUGCCCAGUGCCGAAAGGUCAAGGAAGUUGGUGACCUGAUGACAAGGGAGCUGGCGACCGAAGCCCCGUUGAACGGCGGCUGUAACUAUAAUGGUCCUAAGGUAGCAAAAUUCCUUGUCGGGUAAGUUCUAACCUAAACAAAAGGCAUAACGAUCUAGGAUUGUCUCGGAAAGAGACUCGGUGAAAUAGACAUGUCUGUGAAGAUGCAGACUACCUACACCUGGAUAGAAAGACCCUAUGAAGCUUCACUAUUCCUUGGGAUUGGCUUUGGGUCUUUCCUGUGUAGCUUAGGUGGAGGGCGAAGAAAGCCCCCUUCUGGAGGGGGGCAAGCCGUUAGUGAGAUACCACUCUAGAAAAGCUAGAAUUCUAACCUUGUGUCAAUACCUACGGGCCAAGGGACAAUCUCUAGUAGAUAGUUUCUAUGGGGCAUAGGCCACCCAAAAGGCAACGAAGGUAUACAAAAGUUUCCUCAGACCAGACAGAGAUUGGCCUUCGAGAGCAAAAGCAAAAGGGAGCUUGACUGCAAGACCCACCCAUUAAGCAGGGACGAAAGUUGGCCUCAGUGAUUCGACGGUGCCAAGUGGAAAGGUCGUUGCUCAACGGAUAAAAGUUACUUUAGGGAUAACAGGCUGAUCUUCCCCAAGAGCUCACAUCGAUGAGAAGGUUUGGAACCUCGAUGUUAGCUCUUCACCACUUGGGGCUGUAGUAUGUUCCAAGGGUUAGGUUGUUCGCCCACUAAAGCGGUACAUGAGCUGGGUUCAGAACAUCGUGAGACAAUUCGAUCCAUAUUUGGUGUGGGCGUUAGAGUAUUGAGAGGACCUUUCCCUAGUACGAGAAGACCGGGAAGGACGCACCUCUGGUGUACUAAUUAUCAUGCCCACGGUAAACGCUGGAUAGCCAAGUAUAGAGCGGAUAACUUCUGAAAGCAUCUAAGUAGUAAGUCCACCCCAAUAUGAGUGCUGUCCUAUUCUGACUUCCUUAAAGCCUCCGAUAGCACAGUCGAGACAGCGAUGGGUUCUCUGCCCCUACAGGGAUGGAGUGACAGAAGUUUUGAGAAUUCAAGAGAAGGUCAUAGCAAUAGAUGUCAAGUGGAAAUGUAGUGAUGUAUGCAGCUGAGGCAUCCUAACAUACUGGUAAACUUGGGCCU
rnacentral:rRNA from 1 species